rnacentral:rRNA from 1 species
AGAGUUUGAUCAUGGCUCAGGAUGAACGCUAGCUACAGGCUUAACACAUGCAAGUCGAGGGGAAACGACAUCGAAAGCUUGCUUUUGAUGGGCGUCGACCGGCGCACGGGUGAGUAACGCGUAUCCAACCUGCCCACCACUUGGGGAUAACCUUGCGAAAGUAAGACUAAUACCCAAUGACGUCUCUAGAAGACAUCUGAAAGAGAUUAAGAUUUAUCGGUGAUGGAUGGGGAUGCGUCUGAUUAGCUUGUGGCGGGGUAACGGCCCACAAGGCGACGAUCAGUAGGGGUUCUGAGAGGAAGGUCCCCCCANUUGGAACUGAGACACGGUCCAAACUCCUAGGGAGGCA